AACGCAACUUGCGCUCUCUGGUAUUCCGGAGAGCAUGCCUGUUUGAGUGUCAUGAAAUCUCAACCAUUAGGGUUUCUUAAUGGCUUGGAUUUGGGUGUUGCCAGUCCACUGGCUCGCCUUAAAGGAGUUAGCGAGUUUAACAAUGUCCUCUGGAGUAAUAAGUUUCUCUGGAAAGGCUUGUGAAGUUUGCUUCUAAUCGUCUUCGGACAAUUACUUUGACUCUGGCCUCAAAUCAGGUAGGACUACCCGCUGAACUUAA
rnacentral:misc_RNA from 1 species